rnacentral:rRNA from 1 species
UACGGGGGGAGCAAGCGUUGUUCGGAUUUACUGGGCGUAAAGGGCGCGUAGGCGGUCAGUGCAAGUCAGUUGUGAAAUCUCCGGGCUUAACUCGGAAAGGUCAACUGAUACUGCUCGACUAGAGUGCGGAAGGGGCAACUGGAAUUCUUGGUGUAGCGGUGAAAUGCGUAGAUAUCAAGAGGAACACCUGCGGCGAAGGCGGGUUGCUGGGCCGACACUGACGCUGAUGCGCGAAAGCUAAGGGAGCGAACGGG